rnacentral:rRNA from 1 species
UCGCCUCUUGUAACCAUAAGAGGUCCAGCCUGCCCAGUGAUUUUAUUUAACGGCCGCGGUAUUCUAACCGUGCGAAGGUAGCGCAAUCACUUGUUUUCUAAAUAAAGACCAGUAUGAAAGGCAUCACGAGAACUUAACUGUCUCCUUUCUCCAAUCAGUGAACCUAAUCUCCCCGUGAAGAAGCGGGGAUCCCCCUAUAAGACGAGAAGACCCUGUGGAGCUUAAAAUAUAAUAUCAACUACUGCCCCAAUUACCCUCCCCACUUCCCCAGCGGCACCCUGAUCACAUAUUUUUGGUUGGGGUGACCGCGGAGAAAAACUCACCCUCCGUGAUGAAAAAGAAUUCCCUUAAACAACAAGUUACAACUUUAUGUAUCAAAAAAUUGACAUUCAUUGACCCAAUAAAUUGAUUAACGAACCAA